UUGAACGCUGGCGGCAUGCCUUACACAUGCAAGUCGAACGGUAGAGGGGCAACCCUUGAGAGCGGCGAACGGGUGAGUAAUGCAUCGGAACGUGCCCAGUCGUGGGGGAUAACGCAGCGAAAGCUGUGCUAAUACCGCAUGUGAUCUGUGGAUGAAAGCAGGGGACCGCAAGGCCUUGUGCGAUUGGAGCGGCCGAUGUCAGAUUAGCUAGUUGGUAGGGUAAAAGCCUACCAAGGCGACGAUCUGUAGCUG
rnacentral:rRNA from 1 species